AUUCCAGCUCCAAUAGCGUAUAUUAAAGUUGUUGCAGUUAAAAAGCUCGUAGUUGGAUUUCUGGGAGGGUGCCGCCGUCCGGCGUGUCCGUGUGCAGUGGCGCCCUUCCAUCCUUCUGUUAGCGUCUCUUGGCAUUCAUUUGCUGGUGGCGGGCUCAGAUAUUUUACCUUGAGAAAAUUAGAGUGUUUCAGGCAGGCUAGGCCGGAAUACAUUAGCAUGGAAUAAUGGAAUAGGACUACGGUCUCUUUGUUGGUUUGAGGGACUGCAGUAAUGAUUAAUAGGGAUAGUUGGGGGCAUUAGUAUUUAAUUGUCAGAGGUGGAAUUCUCGGAUUUGUUAAAGACUAACUUAUGCGAAAGCAUUUGCCAAGGAUGUUUUCAUUG
rnacentral:rRNA from 1 species